rnacentral:rRNA from 1 species
AUUGAACGCUGGCGGCAGGCCUAACACAUGCAAGUCGGACGGUAGCACAGAGGAGCUUGCUCCUCGGGUGACGAGUGGCGGACGGGUGAGUAAUGUCUGGGGAUCUGCCCGAUAGAGGGGGAUAACCACUGGAAACGGUGGCUAAUACCGCAUAACGUCGCAAGACCAAAGAGGGGGACCUUCGGGCCUCUCACUAUCGGAUGAACCCAGAUGGUAUUAGCCAGUAGGCGGGGUAACGGCCCACCUAGGCGACGAUCCCUAGCUGGUCUGAGAGGAUGACCAGCCACACUGGAACUGAGACACGGUCCAGACUCCUACGGGAGGCAGCAGUGGGGAAUAUUGCACAAUGGGCGCAAGCCUGAUGCAGCCAUGCCGCGUGUAUGAAGAAGGCCUUCGGGUUGUAAAGUACUUUCAGCGGGGAGGAAGGCGAUGUGGUUAAUAACCGCGUCGAUUGACGUUACCCGCAGAAGAAGCACCGGCUAACUCCGUGCCAGCCGCCGCCGUAA